rnacentral:misc_RNA from 1 species
UGGUUCUGGCAUCGAUGAAGAACGCAGCGAAAUGCGAUAAGUAAUGCGAAUUGCAGAAUUCAGUGAGUCAUCGAAUCUUUGAACGCAUAUUGCGCCCUUUGGUAUUCCGAAGGGCAUGCCUGUUCGAGCGUCAUUAUCAAACAUCAAGCCCGGCUUGUUGUUGGACCGCCUUGUCGCCUCUGGCGACAGGUCCAAAAGACAAUAACUGGCGUCGUGAAAGACUCUAUAUGCAAUGAGCUUCCAAAAAGCACGCAUCUAGUGGUCAUCCGGCCCGGUCAUCACAUUUUUUAAAGGUUGACCUCGGAUCAGGUAGGAAUACCCGCUGA